GUCAUUCAUAUUCACCCAGUUCAAUGUAACAGUGACAGGUUUAGGUUACUGUCAGUCAUAUUCACCCAGUUCAAUGUAACAGUGACAGGUUUAGGUUACUGUCAUUCACCCAGUUCAAUGUAACAGUGACAGGUUUAGGUUACUGUCAUUCACCCAGUUCAAUGUAACAGUGAUAGGUUUAGGUUACUGUCAUUCAUAUUCACCCAGUUCAAUGUAAUAGUGACAGGUUUAGGUUACUGUCAUUCAUAUUCACCCAGUUCAAUGUAACAGUGACAGGUUUAGGUUACUGUCAUUCAUAUUCACCCAGUUCAAUGUAACAGUGACAGGUUUAGGUUACUGUCAUUCAUAUUCACCCAGUUCAAUGUAACAGUGACAGGUUUAGGUUACUGUCAUUCAUAUUCACCCAGUUCAAUGUAACAGUGACAGGUUUAGGUUACUGUCAUUCAUAUUCACCCAGGUCAAUGUAACAGUGACAGGUUUAGGUUACUGUCAUUCAUAUUCACCCAGUUCAAUGUAACAGUGACAGGUUUAGGUUACUGUCAUUAAUAUUCACCCAGUUCAAUGUAACAGUGACAGGUUUAGGUUACUGUCAUUCACCCAGUUCAAUGUAACAGUGAUAGGUUUAGGUUACUGUCAUUCAUAUUCACCCAGUUCAAUGUAAUAGUGACAGGUUUAGGUUACUGUCAUUCAUAUUCACCCAGUUCAAUGUAACAGUGACAGGUUUAGGUUACUGUCAUUCAUAUUCACCCAGUUCAAUGUAACAGUAAUGGGUUUAGGUUACUGUCAUUCAUAUUCACCCAGUUCAAUGUAACAGUGACAGGUUUAGGUUACUGUCAUUCACCCAGUUCAAUGUAACAGUGACAGGUUUAGGUUACUGUCAUUCACCCAGUUCAAUGUAACAGUGACAGGUUUAGGUUACUGUCAUUAAUAUUCACCCAGUUCAAUGUAACAGUGACAGGUUUAGGUUACUGUCAUUCACCCAGUUCAAUGUAACAGUGACAGGUUUAGGUUACUGUCAUUAAUAUUCACCCAGUUCAAUGUAACAGUGACAGGUUUAGGUUACUGUCAUUCACCCAGUUCAAUGUAACAGUGAUAGGUUUAGGUUACUGUCAUUCAUAUUCACCCAGUUCAAUGUAAUAGUGACAGGUUUAGGUUACUGUCAUUCAUAUUCACCCAGUUCAAUGUAACAGUGACAGGUUUAGGUUACUGUCAUUCAUAUUCACCCAGUUCAAUGUAACAGUAAUGGGUUUAGGUUACUGUCAUUCAUAUUCACCCAGUUCAAUGUAACAGUGACAGGUUUAGGUUACUGUCAUUCACCCAGUUCAAUGUAACAGUGACAGGUUUAGGUUACUGUCAUUCAUAUU